rnacentral:rRNA from 1 species
AUUGAACGCUGGCGGCAGGCUUAACACAUGCAAGUCGAGCGGGGUGAGGUGCUUCGGUACUGAUCCUAGCGGCGGACGGGUGAGUAAUGCUUAGGAAUCUGCCAUUUAGUGGGGGACAACAUUCCGAAAGGGAUGCUAAUACCGCAUACGUCCUACGGGAGAAAGCAGGGGAUCUUCGGACCUUGCGCUAAAUGAUGAGCCUAAGUCGGAUUAGCUAGUUGGUGGGGUAAAGGCCUACCAAGGCGACGAUCUGUAGCGGGUCUGAGAGGAUGAUCCGCCACACUGGGACUGAGACACGGCCCAGACUCCUACGGGAGGCAGCAGUGGGGAAUAUUGGACAAUGGGCGGAAGCCUGAUCCAGCCAUGCCGCGUGUGUGAAGAAGGCCUUUUGGUUGUAAAGCACUUUAAGCGAGGAGGAGGCUACCUAGAUUAAUACUCUGGGAUAGUGGACGUUACUCGCAGAAUAAGCACCGGCUAACUCUGUGCCAGCAGCCGCAGUAAGAC